AAUUGAUAAAGGCAAACUUGUUGAAAAAUAACGACGCAAAGCUAUGAGUCUAAGGUGUGAAUACGCUAAGAUAGUCAAGCUACCAAA
rnacentral:ncRNA from 1 species